GAUGAACGCUGGCGGCGUGCCUAAUACAUGCAAGUCGAGCGAACAGACGCGGAGCUUGCUCCUCUGACGUUAGCGGCGGACGGGUGAGUAACACGUGGAUAACCUACCUAUAAGACUGGGAUAACUUCGGGAAACAGGAGCGAAUACCGGAGAAUAUAGUGAACCGCAUGGUUCAAUAGUGAAAGACGGUUUUGCUGUCACUUAUAGAUGUAUCCGCGCCGCAUUAGCUAGUUGGUAAGGUAACGGCUUACCAAGGCAACGAUGCGUAGCCGACCUGAGAGGGUGAUCGGCCACACUGGAACUGAGACACGGUCCAGACUCCUACGGGAGGCAGCAGUAGGGAAUCUUCCGCAAUGGGCGAAAGCCUGACGGAGCAACGCCGCGUGAGUGAUGAAGGUCUUCGGAUCGUAAAACUCUGUUAUUAGGGAAGAACAAAUGUGUAAGUACCUGUGCACUUAUUGACGGUACCUAAUCAGAAAGCCACGGCUAACUACGUG
rnacentral:rRNA from 1 species